CAUAGAACUGUUUGGCCAUAUGGUAAUUCUGUCUUUAACUUUUUGAGGGAUUGUUAAACUGUUUUCCAAAGUGACUGUCCCAUUUUUCAUUCCUAUUAGCAAU
rnacentral:miRNA from 1 species